rnacentral:rRNA from 1 species
AGAGUUUGAUCAUGGCUCAGGAUGAAUGCUGGCGGCGUGGAUAAGGCAUGCAAGUCAAGGGGACCGCAAGGUAACCGGCAGACGAGGUAGUAAUAUACAGGUACGCACCGAAAAGUCGGGCAUAGCUAGCCGAAAGGUUAGGUAAUUCCCGAUAGUCCCUCCGGGGUAAAGGAGCAAUCCGCUUUUUGAGCGGCCUGUACCGCAUCAGCUAGUUGGUAAGGUAAUGGCUUACCAAGGCAAUGACGCGUAGGGGAGCUGAGAGGCUGACCCCCACCGAUAGCACUGAGACACGGGCUAUACAUCUACGGAUGGCUGCAGUCGAGAAUCUUCCGCAAUGGGCGAAAGCCUGACGGAGCGACGCCGCGUGGUUGAUGAAGUCCUUCGGGACGUAAAAACCUUUUAUGAGGGAGGAAGUUAUUGACGUUACCUCAUGAAUAAGGGGCUCCUAACUCUGUGCCAGCAGGAGCGGUAAUACAGAGGCCCCAAGCAUUAUCCGGAAUCACUGGGCGUAAAGGGUGUGUAGGCGGUCGUAUUAGUCUUUCGUGAAAGCUUUUGGGCUUAACCCAGAAA